rnacentral:rRNA from 1 species
UACGGAGGGUGCAAGCGUUAUCCGGAUUUACUGGGUUUAAAGGGUGCGUAGGCGGGCCAUUAAGUCAGUGGUGAAAGCUCUGAGCUUAACUCGGAAACUGCCAUUGAUACUAUUGGUCUUGAAUUCGGUCGAGGUUGGCGGAAUGUGUCGUGUAGCGGUGAAAUGCUUAGAUAUGACACAGAACACCGAUUGCGAAGGCAGCUAGCUAGACCGACAUUGACGCUGAGGCACGAAAGCGUGGGGAGCAAACAGG